ACAGAUCUCAGCACUGAGAGGUGAUGUUCAGAUGGAGGACAGUUACGGAUUGGACGUCCAUAGAAGUGAAGCCAGUGACGGAGGUCUGGGCAGGGGGCUGCCAGUUAGAUACCUUACUCUGGUGGAUAGUGUUUUUGAAGAUCAGCUUGUUCUCUCUCUGGAUGAUGAUGAGGAGCUUCCAACGUUACAAACAGGUACGAUCCAUUCAUCUGUUUAUCUCUCUGUCUUACUCGCUCUCUCCCUCUUCUUUAUUCUCUCUCUUUCGCGCUCUCUCUCUCUC